UCGAGAAUCAUUGUCAAUGGACGCAAGUCUGAACGUGCGACGCCGCGUGUGGGAUGAAGGCCCUUGGGUUGUAAACCACUGUCAGGGGAAGGAAUAAGCGUGUAACCCACGCGAUGACUUAUACCCCAGAGGAAGUGACGGCUAACUACGUGCCAGCAGCUGCGGUAAUACGUAGGUCACGAACGUUAUUCGGAAUCACUGGGCUUAAAGGGCGCGUAGGCGGUUUGAUAAGUUACGGUUGAAAUCCGGCGGCUCACCCGUCGAACUGGCCGUGAUACUGUCGAACUGGAGGUGCGGAGGGAUGCGUGGAACUUGUGGUGGAGCGGUGAAAUGCCCAGAUAUCACAGGGAACACCGGUGGCGAAGGCGACGCAUUGGCCGCAAUCUGACGCUGAGGCGCGAAAGCAUGGGGAGCGAACGGGGGUUAGAAACCCCAGUAG
rnacentral:rRNA from 1 species